UAAAAGGUAAGCUAAUACAAGCUAAUGGGCUCAUACCUCAUUCAUAGAAACAAAAAUUUUCUCCUUUUAA
rnacentral:tRNA from 1 species